AUUUAUAUAGUUUAAAUAAAACAUUACAUUUUCAUUGUAAAAAUAAAAUAAAUUAAUUUUUAUAAAUA
rnacentral:tRNA from 1 species